rnacentral:miRNA from 1 species
ACGUGAAAAUCUUAGUACAGGCUC